UUUGUCGUUUAAUGAGAUCUAAUAUAUCUUGUUAGUGGUGAGAAUUUUCGCGUGAUUAAAUACAUAGAUCCGGCUAUUAUCCCCAUGUACUUUAAUGGUCCAGUGGCAGAACUUUUGCCAAGCGUGUCAGAGGUUCUGGGCUCUAAUCCGCACUAAGAAUUUUUUUUCCUCAUCAAAACCGAUUGUUUAUUAGUGGUUGUAUAUCAAGCAGGGACACGCUUUUUUGUGCAUUAGGUUUUGUGAUUUCACCGUAACAAAUAUAGAGAGUCUCUCCGCAACGGAUUGAAGCGCGCGUCCGUGUGAAGACUGUGUGCGUCACAACAGAACACUGUAUCCGCGCCACUGAUCGCAGCGGCAACGAGCACUUUGGUCACUUAAUUUCAAAAACAA